AGCGUCAUAAUUGAAACACUGUAGAAUGAGGCUGGGAGAGGCGGUGGGAGUUUCUGAGGACCGUUUGCCACUCUCCUUUGACCGGUCACCGCCGGUCAACUUCAGCCGAUGAUUUCUCCGAACCAUACCAAACGGCCCUCAAACAGAGUUCCCUCUUGUUCAGUUCUGUUCAGUUCAUUCUUAUUAUUACUCCGAAUUAAUUAAUUAUUAUUAUUAUUACUAUUAUUACUCCCACCGUUUCUUUCUAGAGGCAAUGAUGAAUCAAAUCGUACAAAGUAAUCCAAAGUUUUUCUGGGUUUGGUUGCAUUUUCCGAUGUGGGUGGUUUGCCAUUUGGCCUGGCGCAACUAGAUGGGCAUUUGGUUCCGCUAGUUGUUGCGACGAUGGUGGUGGUGGUGGUGAUUGAGACUGGAAAGUGGAAACUUAGGCUCUGUUCAGUUCAACUUAUUUUUAUUAUGCCCAUCUGGUUUGAUUUGCCGCCAUGGUUGAACUUCCCCACCUUGAAUUUGUUCCCCCAAAAGGCUUUGAUGAAAUGCGGAUCUGAGCCUCCCCAAACAAACCCUCCAAAAAAAGAUCAGAUCCAGGAAUUCAUGAACAUGAUUAUAACAUUUUGCUUACAAUUUUCUGUUUCAAUUUGAUUGAUUAUGCGAAUUUUUGUUGCUGUCUGAGUGAUUUUGAUGAAGGUGUUAACAUGGGCAAAAUUGAUUGGUUUUUUAUUGUGUUGUUUCGAAUGCCUCACGUAAUGCUAUCAAUUUUGUGGCUGCUGUUAGUGUUCAAAGGAAUGAUUGGCAUUGCCAUGGAACAGUCACUGCUUGAAGAGAGAGAAUAAAAGCAAGCAUUUCCCUGACUCUCUUUCUUCUCUGGGGGGGUCACCCAAGUCCAAUCUACAAUACAAUGAGUUCAGAUAAGUUCGACAAGAUCAGAUUGAUAGAAUAUGUUAUAUUUUGUAAAUAUUCUCUAGUAUCAACUAAAUUAUACUUUUAGUAUGUAUAGUUAGUUAUCAAUUAGUCAAUUUGCUCCAUGAUUCUAGGAUUCAUUCUAGGAGUAUAUUACUAACUAGUUUUGUAUAUAAUGAGAUGAAUGUCAAUCAAUAACUUUCAAAACUGGUAACGAAUAUACUCCUAGAAUGAUUCCUAGAAUCAUGGAGCUAAUUGAUACGGAGUAACUAACUAUGUUAAUUAUACGUUAGUUAAGAAUAUUUUAAAAAUAUAUUACAUAGUAGAACAUAUUCUAUCACAGAUAAGUUUGAGGCGAAAAGAACGCACACUAAAAAAAAUGAAUCAUCACUUCAAGAGCCUCAUUUGUUUUAUCGCCCUAGGGCCUUUAAAAUGUCAAUAAUGGCUCUGGUUGCCAGUCUACCCAAAUCGCAAUGAAUUGUUUAUAUAUUUGGAGUUAACAUAAUAACAUGUUGGUAUUUGUGGUUGUGAUUAUUUAUAUUUCUACUUUUAUAAGUAGACUGCCACGGGACUACGGAAGAUACACAUGCUCUGUUCUUUUGGACUGACUGAAUGAAUCUCAGUUGAGUCAGAGGGGUUUUUCCAUUUGUCUGGCAUCAGUAAGCUGAUGAGCUUUACUUUUUUAGCGACCAUGGUACUGACCACUGACUUUUGUUUCCAUAUGCUUGAUCAAAGGUGAAUCUGAGCCUCUGUUUAUGAAUGAAUGAAUCUCAGUUUAAUCUCAGUACAGUUCAGGUCCAUUAAUGGAUAAGGUCUAUAGAACUUUUGUCAUAGAACCUGCCCUCAGGCUUUACCACUAGGCCAAGACUUCAAUGGUCAGUUUUUUAGGCUGUGAUGAUACAUUUUUCUACUCAAGUAGACUGGCACGGAAGAAACAAAGUCAGAGGGGUUUUUCCGUUGGCCUGGCAGCAGUAAGCUGAUGAGCUUUACUUUGUUUGCCGCCAUGGUACUGACCGCUGACUUGUCUCCAUAUGCUUUGAUCAAAGGCGAAUCUGAGCCUCUGUUUUGGAUGGAAUGAAUCUCAGAUAAAGUGAAUGAAUUUCAGUUGAAUAGAACACACCAUAUUACAUUUCUGCACCAUUCACAUACUUCACUUUGACCAUCUUUGUUAUUCAUACUCUGUAUGUGAAGAAAGACAGUUUUUUGUCACUAGUGACUAGGCCAAGACCUCAUUGAUUGUAAUGAAAGACAGUCACGUGGGAUCUUGUGGGAUUCGUGUCAUUAUACAAUCUAGCGUUCCAAGGAUGGUGUUUGCAGUUAGCUGGUCAGGAGCCAAUCUGAUGAUCUCUGGUACUAAUUGACUUUCUGAUGCCAACCCAGCUAUAUAUUGAUGAAGUCUUCUCCUUCUCCACAAUCUCAUGUCUCACCAGUUCAAUGUGUUGUUCUCUGUUUUUUUGCAAGUUUUAAGUAAUCAACACCUUUUUAAUACAUUUUUUAGAUUUUGAUGAAAACACAAGAUUCCUGAUAGUAUUACGCGGUUGGUUUAGGGAGAAUGCUAGAUUUGUAAGAAUGGUGAUUGUUAUUCUGAUGAAGUUAUCUCUUCUGUAAGCAGGGUGAUUAUAAAUGUUCAUUACAAGGAUAUUGUUAUUGGCUUA